rnacentral:lncRNA from 1 species
UGCUGUCAUAUCCACAGUGAAUUGAGCCCAGGGCCUCCUUUAUGCAUGACAGUUGCUCUGCCACUGAGCCACAUCCCCAGUCCUUUUUUGUGUUUUAAGACAGGGUCUUGCUACAUAGGUCAGGCUGGCCUUGAACUUGUUAUGUAGCUCAGGAUGGCCCUAAACAUGUGGCAAUCCUCCUGCCACAGUCUCCUGAGUGCUGGUAUUACAGGUGUGUGCCACCACGCCCUGCAUUCUCUAGCUUUUGAGGCACUGGCCUUGCUCUUUCACUCCUAAUUCUUUUGGUUCUGCAUACAAUGUGCCUACACACACACACACACACACACACACACACACGCUCAUGCUCACACAAGCACACCUCCCACAGAAGCUUCAGACUCCCUGUGCCAUGUUGCAUCUGAAUGCAGUGCCACUGUCUACCUACUGCUAUCCCUACCUGGUACACCUCACCACAGCUGCUGUCCAUGGGUCUUCCUAUGGCCAUGAGGCUGCCACAGAAAUUACCAGGGUCCUGGGGCAUCAGUUUUUCUUCCCAUCUCAGUCACUCAGAGAGGGGCCAGCCCUCCCUGUGCCACCUCUAGCCCUCUCAGAGGGGAUUGUGAGCCUGGAAAACAGAAAUCUAGUUGUCCCCAAUGUCACCAUUGUUGAUUCUAAGUUAAGAUCAGACUACCUUCUGGGGCUUCUUGGCUCAUAGAGUCCCAAGGACCAGGAUGAGGCUAGUAGGCACCAUAGCCCAGGAAAUGCCGCUGGUGACACAAAUUCCCAUCUGCUCUCCAGCCCCUGCCAACAGAGAGACAUCAGCUUUGGCAAGGGCCCUGGACACGUCCAAGGUCUCCAGUGGUCAGACUCACUGCUGAUGGUGUUUGGUUCCUACCAUCGGCUCCUACAUUAUGCAAGACAGACAGCACACCAGGCUGGCCUGCUGCCAGGCAAGCCAAUAGGGUGUGGUGUGCAUGUCCCAGGUGGCAAGGCCUUACUUCUAUCUAAAUCAGACAUUGCUAACCGCCUUACAAUCGCCUCAUAACCAGUAGGACUCCCUCUCCCCGAAGUUCAGAGCUGGAGAUGUCAGAUGCCAUCACGGGGGUUUUGCACUGCCCCCCAAGGGAGAAAAGGAUUCCACAGUCCUGAACAUUAUGGGGGCUGACAACCAGUGCUGCAGGUGCAGAGGAUGAGCGACAGCCUUCCAACGCAGGGGCCUGAAGCGACAGGAACUGGUAAACG